rnacentral:guide_RNA from 1 species
AAACAACACGAAACGAAGCAUAGAUGGAUAUAUGAGAUUC